UACGUAGGUGGCAAGCGUUGUCCGGAUUUACUGGGCGUAAAGGGCGUGCAGGCGGUUUGUACGUAGCAGGGUGAAAGCUCCCGGCUCAACUGGGAGAGGUCCUUGCAUACUGGCAACUCGAGGGAGGCAGAGGAAAGUGGAAUUCCCGGUGUAGUGGUGAUAUGCGUAGAUAUCGGGAGGAACACCUGUGGCGAAGGCGGCUUUCUGGGCCUUACCUGACGCUGAGACGCGAAAGCGUGGGGAGCGAACCGG
rnacentral:rRNA from 1 species